GGCGCAGCCUGAUGCAGCCAUGCCGCGUGUAUGAAGAAGGCCUUCGGGUUGUAAAGUACUUUCAGUUGUGAGGAAGGGGGUGACGUUAAUAGCGGUAUCUCUUGACGUUAGCAACAGAAGAAGCACCGGCUAACUCCGUGCCAGCAGCCGCGGUAAUACGGAGGGUGCGAGCGUUAAUCGGAAUUACUGGGCGUAAAGCGCAUGCAGGUGGUUCAUUAAGUCAGAUGUGAAAGCCCGGGGCUCAACCUCGGAACUGCAUUUGAAACUGGUGAACUAGAGUGCUGUAGAGGGGGGUAGAAUUUCAGGUGUAGCGGUGAAAUGCGUAGAGAUCUGAAGGAAUACCAGUGGCGAAGGCGGCCCCCUGGACAGACACUGACACUCAGAUGCGAAAGCGUGGGGAGCAAACAGGAUUAGAUACCCUGGUAGUCCACGCCGUAAACGAUGUCUACUUGGAGGUUGUGGCCUUGAGCCGUGGCUUUCGGAGCUAACGCGUUAAGUAGACCGCCUGGGGAGUACGGUCGCAAGAUUAAAACUCAAAUGAAUUGACGGGGGCCCGCACAAGCGGUGGAGCAUGUGGUUUAAUUCG
rnacentral:rRNA from 1 species